rnacentral:tRNA from 1 species
GCAUCGGUGGUUCAGUGAUAGAAUUCUCGCCUGCCACGCAGGCAGCCCGAGUUCGAAUCCCGGCUGAUGCA